UCCCCCGUGGCGCAACUGGCUAGCGCGUCAGACUGUUAAUCUGGAGGUUCUUAGUUCAAUCCUAAGCGGGGGAG